AUUGAACGCUGGCGGCAGGCCUAACACAUGCAAGUCGAGCGAGCGGCGGACGGGUGCGUAAUGUAUGGGGACUGCCCGAUAGAGGGGGAUAACUAAUGGCAAAUGUGGCUAAUACCGCAUACUAUCGGAUAACCCAUAUGGGAUUAGCUAGUAGGUGGGGUAAAGUCUCACCUAGGAGACGAUCUCUAGCUGGUCUGAGAGGAUGAUCGGCCAACUGGGGCCGUGGACACGGCCCGUACUCCUACGGAGGCAGCAGUGGGGAAUAUUGGACAAUGGGUGCAAGCUGGAUGCAGCCAUGCCGCGUGUAUGAAGAAGGCCUUAGGGUUGUAAAGUACGUUCAGCGGGGAGGCGUUACCCGAAGAAGAAGCACCGGCUAACUCCGUGCCAGCAGCCGCGGUAAUUC
rnacentral:rRNA from 1 species